UCAGCAGCUCCUGAGGCAGGUCGAACUUCCUGAGCUGGCGCAGGAAGUACAUCCUCUGCUGUGCCUCAGAGGUGUGCAUGGACUUGGAAAGUCGUCUGGGAACAAGGUGGAAAGUCUGGUGCACCUGAAGACCUGCUGAGUACAUCAACUACAGAACUCGGAGGCACGCGGCCCAGCAAAGAGGAUGACCCGACACCACAAACCUCUAGACAACAAUUCAGAUGGCUUGAUGGCGAUGAACCAAGCAGAGCAACGACAUCAGCAGUCUGGCCUUUUCUUGGGAUUUGCCACCAGUAAUUCGGAGACGGCUAUUAUUUCAACAUGUGGUGAGAUGACGGCUUGUAUUUCAAGUUUGUUUGUUUUUUUUCUCCCCCCAGAUUUUGUCUAUAUGUUGACUUAGAACUUUGCAGUGUCCAUUCUGCAUAUAUGUGAAAGGAUGUUCACUGCCCAGGGUUAAAUAAUGUGCUCACUAAAAGCCUCAUGGAGAAGAUGUGAUGUACUCUGCUGUGAUGACUCCACCAUUAGGGAUUUCCCAUCUUGCCCAAAACUUCAGCAGCAUGUAAAAAGAAGGGUACUCGGUGUGGGAGAUGGAGUGCUUUUCAGGGCCCUGUGUUCAACAUUUUCAGCCUUGUUCUAGGCCCUGUUUUUGUUUUUUCUUCAAUAAAGCUAUUACAACUAUUAAAACUGUCUUGUUCUGCUUUUAACAUCAAAGAUAUCCGGCACUGUUU